UGAAGUCACUGGAGGCUGCAUCUGA
rnacentral:piRNA from 1 species